rnacentral:rRNA from 1 species
CAAACCAAAGCUGGCGACCGGCGCACGGGUGAGUAACACGUAUCCAACCUGCCUCAUACUCGGGGAUAGCCUUUCGAAAGAAAGAUUAAUAUCCGAUAGCAUAUAUUUCCCGCAUGGGUUUUAUAUUAAAGAAAUUCGGUAUGAGAUGGGGAUGCGUUCCAUUAGUUUGUUGGGGGGUAACGGCCCACCAAGACUACGAUGGAUAGGGGUUCUGAGAGGAAGGUCCCCCACAUUGGAACUGAGACACGGUCCAA